CAGCAUUUGCAGUCUCUUGUGUCACCAAUAGCAAUACUUCAUCUUUGGAUUAUGUUUUCUACUGCUAUCAUUGACUGCAUUGAUAUUUGUAGAAACCAGAGUGCUGUCAUACUUUGAUUUGUCACAAGUAUGCUUUAAUGGAAAACUAUAAAUAAUUUAACAGAUAAAUAUACAGAUCAAACGCAAAG